UUUUGGGUAUUUGCCUUAGUUAUGUUUUCUUUCUUUUCAAGUUGAUGUAUUUAAAAUAAAUUGAUGUUGUUGUUCUAAGAAUAUGAGUGUUGUUACUUGUUAUCGUUUAUUAAUUUUCCUUUUUUUUGUUAAGCGCCUUCUCGUGGUAGGUUUCUUCUUUAAUUUUAAAUACUCUGGUUUCAAUUAAGUAAGAGAAUGCAUAUAUAUUAUAAUUUAUUUUAAAUUUUGAAAUUGUGUAACCCAGGUAAGGGUAAAUUAAUAAAUUGGUAGUGUAAAAGAUCAAUGACGAAUGACAAUGAAACUAUUGAUCACUGUCGAAUUAUAUAUCUCCGUAUUGUUGUUCAUUAAGUGAGUCUACUAUCAAAUAGAAUAAUUUAUGGGAAAUUGUUAAGGGUAGUUAACCAAAACUAUAUAUCUCCGUAUUGUAGUUCAUUAGUGAGUCUGCUCGAACAUAAAAUUUUUGAUGGUAAAUGGCAAUGAAACUAUUGAUCACUGGUUUCCUCGAAAAAUAAUUAAAUUUUUGAAUCACUAGUAUCCUGUAAUUUUCUUCAAGAGGUAUAAAAAAUAAACCAAAUAUGUGUGAGGCAAGCUUUUAAUUCACUGAUUAUAUCUCCCUAUAGCAGUUCAUUUACUAAGUCUAAUAUCGAAUACAAAAAUGUACUAAGGAGGCCGACUAUUGACAAUGAAACUCAUGGGGAAGGUGCGGGGAGGACCCAAGAGGAAAGAGCAUAUUGCCCCAAUGAUGAUUAUUCCAAAAAGAACCCUUUCAUUAUGACUUAUUCUCGAGAUUUGCAAAAGAUUAAGAAGACAAUGAUCAGUGGGAUGCGGAUAGAGAAGUAUUACAUAUUUGAGAUAACUACGAGCUGCAGAUAGAUGAUGAGAUGAUUGGUUGAUUACGGGACUUCCUUAUGGAGAUAUGACUUACGACAUUCCAGAUGUGAAUUGCAAUAACUCGAAGUUCAAGGCCUUAAAGAGUAUGUACCAACAUUUGGGGGAUAUUAGCUACAGCUUGGUGUACGAAAAGUGUAUGGAUAAAAAUGAGAAGCCCAAAGAUUUUCUGAAGCACUUUGUCCUUUAUUUGGUUGCGAGUUGUUCUAUGCAUUACAACUAUCAACAAUAUUUCCCCAAAUCAUUGUUGGUUGUUGAAAGAAAAGUUCAUCAAUGAAGGGAAAAGAUAUAACUGGUCUAAAUAUGUACUUGAUUGGAUGGUCAAGUAUGGAGAAGGUGAUACUAACGGGGGAUUUAAGGGAUCUCCAAUUGUUCUUAUGAUUGGAUAUCUGGGCCGUUUGAACAUAGAUGGAAAAGGGAUGAUGUGGGACAAGAAGAAAUCGAGAAUCGGUGCAUGGCAACAACAGUUUAUUGAUAAAGCAAUUUCAGCUAAUAGGAGGCCUGAUGGUACCUUUGGUGCAGCUGAGGAUUUGGAGGAUAGAUUGACUGGAAAUAGAGAACCGCUAAUCAAAAGACCACGUUGGCAACACUUCCCUAGUUUUAGUACUGAAUCGAGUGGUAGUGCCCUUGAUUCCAUGGAUUAUAAGAAAGCGAAGAAUGGGGCUGGUUUCAAAUGCCCUCCCGAGACCAUUUCAAGAUGGAGAAGCUGCCGCACAGGAGAUGCUACAGAGAUGAGGCCAGAGGGAGAAGCUCCAAAAGAAAGUGCUAAUACAAGAAGAAUCUCUCGCAACAAAGCUCCUUCAAAGCGCAUUCCCACGUCUCCUGAAGAUACCAUUCGGAACUCCCCUGCAGCGACAAACCUUCCAAGAAGAAGCCCCCGCAAUAAAGAUCCAGCAGUGACGAUCAGCCGCACAGGAGAUGCUGCAGAGAUGAGGCCAGAGGGGGAAGCUCCACAAGAGAGUGCUCCUAAAAGAAGAAGCUCCGGCAACAAAGCUCUUUCAGAGCGCAUUCCCAUGUCUCCUGCAGAUACCAUUCAAAAUUCCCCUACAACGACAAACAUUCCAAGAAGAAGCCCCCGCAUUAAAAAUCCAGCAAUGAUGAUCAGUAAACAAAAAAGAUGUUAAUGGUGGGAAUUUUGGAUAUCGAUGACUACGGCUGUAUUGAGGGUCACAUUCGACGGCGUUGACAAGCAGCAUGUUGUGUGAUUACUAAUCUUGAUGGAUGAAAUAAACAAGAUACUUGGAGCAGUGUGGGACUUUGUUACUGCUGCAAAUCCUUUCGUUGAACAUUUUCUUUUUUUUGGGGGGGUAUGCAAAACUAGUUUGAUAAACCAGAAUAUUUGAUGUCUGUAUGAUUUGUAGUGCAAGUUAACCUUUUUACCUAACAAAACUGGUUUGGUUGCACAUAUAUUAUUAAUUAUGGUAGUAUAUUGUAGGAUAAGGUGUGUAUUUUUGUCAAAUAACUUAAGUGUAGUUUAAGUAAUAAUUGAAAUAUAUAAUUAUAUAUCUAUCA